CACCUACUCCCUUCGUUCGGAAUUACUUGUUGCUGUUAUGGAUGUAUCUAGAUAUAUAUUAGUUCUAGAUACAUCCAUUUCUAUGACGAGUAGUUUGAAACGGAGGAAGUACGUA
rnacentral:pre_miRNA from 1 species